rnacentral:rRNA from 1 species
UACGAAGGGGGCUAGCGUUGCUCGGAAUCACUGGGCGUAAAGGGUGCGUAGGCGGGUCUUUAAGUCAGGGGUGAAAUCCUGGAGCUCAACUCCAGAACUGCCUUUGAUACUGAGGAUCUUGAGUUCGGGAGAGGUGAGUGGAACUGCGAGUGUAGAGGUGAAAUUCGUAGAUAUUCGGAAGAACACCAGUGGCGAAGGCGGCUCACUGGCCCGGUACUGACGCUGAAAUACGAAAGCGUGGGGAGCAAACAGG